rnacentral:rRNA from 1 species
CAGUCGAGCGGAACGAGUUAUCUGAACCUUCGGGGAACGAUAACGGCGUCCAGCGGCGGACGGGUGAGUAAUGCCUAGGAAAUUGCCCUGAUGUGGGGGAUAACCAUUGGAAACGAUGGCUAAUACCGCAUAAUGCCUACGGGCCAAAGAGGGGGACCUUCGGGCCUCUCGCGUCAGGAUAUGCCUAGGUGGGAUUAGCUAGUUGGUGAGGUAAGGGCUCACCAAGGCGACGAUCCCUAGCUGGUCUGAGAGGAUGAUCAGCCACACUGGAACUGAGACACGGUCCAGACUCCUACGGGAGGCAGCAGUGGGGAAUAUUGCACAAUGGGCGCAAGCCUGAUGCAGCCAUGCCGCGUGUGUGAAGAAGGCCUUCGGGUUGUAAAGCACUUUCAGUCGUGAGGAAGGUAGUGUAGUUAAUAGCUGCAUUAUUUGACGUUAGCGACAGAAGAAGCACCGGCUAACUCCGUGCCAGCAG